CAGGCAGACUUCCCCCGGACUCCUACGGGAGCCGGGCUCCGCCCACAACUUCACUUACAGGUAAACUAUGUCCGGACUCCUACGGGAGCCGGACUUCACCCAUAACUCCAACUGCAGGAAGACUCAGCCCGGACUCUUACGGGAGCCGGAUCUCAUACCCGACCUCAACUGUGGGAAGGCUUCGCCCAGACUCCUACGGG
rnacentral:lncRNA from 1 species